GCAUAUCAAUAAGCGGAGGAAAAGAAACUUACAGGGAUUCCCCUAGUAGCGGCGAGCGAAGCGGGAAGAGCUCAAAUUUAUAAUCUGGCACCUUCGGUGUCCGAGUUGUAAUCUCUAGAAAUGUUUUCCGCGUUGGACCGCACACAAGUCUGUUGGAAUACAGCGGCAUAGUGGUGAGACCCCCGUAUAUGGUGCGGACGCCCAGCGCUUUGUGAUACAUUUUCGAAGAGUCGAGUUGUUUGGGAAUGCAGCUCAAAUUGGGUGGUAAAUUCCAUCUAAAGCUAAAUAUUGGCGAGAGACCGAUAGCGAACAAGUACCGUGAGGGAAAGAUGAAAAGCACUUUGGAAAGAGAGUUAACAGUACGUGAAAUUGUUGGAAGGGAAACGCUUGAAGUCAGACUUGCUUGCCGAGCAAUCGGUUUGCAGGCCAGCAUCAGUUUUCCGGGAUGGAUAAUGGUAGAGAGAAGGUAGCAGUUUCGGCUGUGUUAUAGCUCUCUGCUGGAUACAUCUUGGGGGACUGAGGAACGCAGUGUGCCUUUGGCGGGGGUUUCGACCUCUUCACACUUAGGAUGCUGGUGGAAUGGCUUUAAACGACCCGUCUUGAAACACGGACC
rnacentral:rRNA from 1 species